rnacentral:rRNA from 1 species
UCGAGAAUAUUCCACAAUGGGCGAAAGCCUGAUGGAGCGACGCCGCGUGCAGGAAGAAGGUCUUCGGAUUGUAAACUGCUUUUCUACGGGAAGAAUCAAAUGACGGUACCGUAGGAAUAAGAAGCUGCAAACUACGUGCCAGCAGCCGCGGUAAUACGUAGGCUUCAAGCGUUAUCCGGAUUUAUUGGGCGUAAAGGGUGUGUAGGGGGUUUUGUGCGUCUCUUGUUAAAGAUCGCUGCUUAACGGCGAAAGUGCAGGGGAUACGGCAAAACUAGAGGGUGCGAGAGGUUCGCGGAACACAUGGUGUAGGGGUGACAUCCGUUGAUAUCAUGUGGAACACCAAAAGCGAAGGCAGCGAACUGGCGCAUUCCUGACCCUGAAACACGAAAGCGUGGGGAGC